UGGGGAAUCUUGCACAAUGGGGGAAACCCUGAUGCAGCGACGCCGCGUGAGUGAUGAAGCCCUUCGGGGUGUAAAGCUCUUUCGACGGGAACGAUAAUGACGGUACCCGGAGAAGAAGCUGCGGCUAACUACGUGCCAGCAGCCGCGGUAAUACGUAGGCAGCAAGCGUUGUUCGGAAUUACUGGGCGUAAAGCGAGUGUAGGUGGUGCGAUAAGUUUGGUGUGAAAUCUCCCGGCUCAACUGGGAGGGUGCGCCGAAGACUGUCGUGCUAGAGUGUGGGAGAGGUAGGCGGAAUUCCUGGUGUAGCGGUGAAAUGCGUAGAUAUCAGGAGGAACACCUGCGGUGUAGACGGCUUACUGGACCACGACUGACACUGAAACUCGAAAGUGUGGGGAGCAAACAGGAUUAGAUACCCCCGUAGUCC
rnacentral:rRNA from 1 species